rnacentral:rRNA from 1 species
UACGUAUGUCGCAAGCGUUAUCCGGAUUUAUUGGGCGUAAAGCGCGUCUAGGCGGUUUGGUAAGUCUGAUGUGAAAAUGCGGGGCUCAACUCCGUAUUGCGUUGGAAACUGCCAAACUAGAGUACUGGAGAGGUGGGCGGAACUACAAGUGUAGAGGUGAAAUUCGUAGAUAUUUGUAGGAAUGCCGAUGGGGAAGCCAGCCCACUGGACAGAUACUGACGCUGAAGCGCGAAAGCGUGGGUAGCAAACAGG